rnacentral:misc_RNA from 1 species
GUUGACUGUUGCAAUCGGAACUGAAAAUCUCAAUUCUCAUGUGUUUCCAAGGCCAUUGAUUAUUGAGUAUCCUGAAAAACAAUUGAGGGAUGAGUUGAAGUGUACGACUUGGAGGUUUGUUGUUGAAACGAAUAAUUUAAGUCCAUGGAAGACGAUUCCAGAGGAAUGUGCUGAUUAUGUCAAGGAAUAUAUGGUGGGUCCAGGUUAUGAGAUGGAGAUUGAUAGGGUUUCGGAUGAGGCGGGAGAAUA